GUUGCUUGAAAAUGGUUAAGUUUAGGGACUUUGAAGGGGAUUUUGUGUAUUGAAAGUGGUUUUGUUUUGAUACUUAGUUGCUUGAAAAUGGUUAAGUGUAGGAACUUCAAAGAGUUUUUUUGUUUUGAAUGUGGUUUGGUUGGUGACUUAGUUGCUUGAAAUUGGUUAAAUUUUUGUGACUUGAUCUAAUUAGUUGAAUCUGAUUGAUUGUGU
rnacentral:lncRNA from 1 species